CACGGCUUUCGCCGCCGUGGCCGCACCGCGGAAGGGGAGCGGGGGGUCCGGGCGCAGCGGUGCCGGGGGGCACGCGUGGGCACGGCUCCGCGGCCCGGAGGGGCCGUCCGCCGCGUCCGGACCCACAGCCGGCUGCUGGGACCGCAGCCCCGCACGUCGCAGCGGCAGCUGUCGGGAACGCUGAUUGCGCGUUAGUUACUGCACGCGCCGUCCCGGCUCUCGUCGUACCGGGAACGCUUCGGCUUCUCUUUGGGGGCCCCGCCGCGGGGUGCCGUGCCUCCGCCGCCGGGCACGGAGGGAGAGAUGCGCGGUCCUGCGGCCGGGCUUCCUCCCUCGGGUCACUUCAACGCUGACCCGCGCGCCGGCUUAUGGUGCCAAAGGUCAGCCUGGAGCUCUUCCACCGACGUGUUUUAGAGAUUAGGAAAUAAUGUGAGAAUAGGAGUGGAUUUUAACCCCGGUGACUUAUGAGCCGUACCGAGGGAGCCUGCUAAACACAUCAUGUGGCACAUAGAUAUGUAGGGGAGGAGAAACGCAGACGGAGAACUGCAGGAUGUGAAGAGGGGUUAAGAAGACACGGCACUACGGAUUGCUGGUCAGAAACACACUAACACUGGCAGUGCAGGGGCUGUGGGAAAACCUGAGAGAAGCUGUCAGCGUUGAGAUGCUCAUGAGAAAUUACCACAUUUAUUAAUAGUAGCAACCCGAGGUUCCCAUUCGCCUCACUGCUUUGUGCCUCCAGUAAGUGACUGCCAACCAGACCACAUCUUUUCCCAUCUCUGUUUUUAACCUCCCCCAGGAGCAGGCACAGCACAGCAGCGCUGGCACUCCCCAAGACAGUCCGUCUCUCCCACUACAUGUUCAAGGAAAGCAGAAAACCCAGCUCAUGGUCCGCAGCAAUAAAGGGAAUGAUGUGAACCGCCUCUCAUCCCUCCAAGCCUUCCACCCUGUAGGUCCUGGCCUGAGAGCACAUUGUACCGGAUGCAGAACAUCAGUUUCCAUUUGGAGAGCCUUCAGCUGGCUGUGAGCUGGUCCCUACCUGAGCUUCCUCUGGAAAGGGGCAGCUGCUGGGAAUGACUGUGACAUUUGUUUUGGAUGCUCAUCUCUGAGGAGAGUGUCUGCAAGCAGUUCCUAGCCAUGGUGACUGCUUCUGCCUUCUGAGUCAAACCCCUUCCUGAUGAGACUUCAGGAAUCUGAAGGAUUUGCAUGUGUUUUGCAGUUCUGAUCUUGAGUUUCACUGUCCUGUGCUGUGUGUAAGAACAGUGCCUUGGGAAUAAAGCAACAUGGGCCUUUCCCAUCUCUUGAUCCUUUGCCUGCACCCCCUCAGUGCAGGGUGGUGCUGGACUACCCAAGGGCUGGAUGACACAGUGCUUGGUGCGUGCAUGUGAACUUGCUGCUCCCAGACAGCAUGGGGCUGUGCUGUAUUGUUUUCUCUCCAGACAAUGCAGCACUGGAUUGUAAGUAAAAAUGCAGAGCACACUGCAAUGUUUGCUCUUUAUUAAUGCACUAAGAUGCAUUUGGGUGAAGCAGAAGGCUCCUGGCUGGCUUGGUUUCAAGCUCCGUGACAGGCUUCCAUAAACACUUUGCAGCUCUCUGGGCAGGGGCAGAAGGCACGGAGAGGCUGCAGCCCCUUCACUGGCAGGGGAGGUAGGCUUGGCUGGGAGGGGUUUGGCCUUUGCCACAGACAGCCCCUUUGUUGAGAGGGGAGCUGGUGAGCAAGUGAGCGAUCCUGGGAGCUUCCCAAUGGCCGGUGGGCACUACAGGGCACUUCAGCUGCAGCUGCUGCUGCUGCGGGGCAGGAGGAAAGGAGAGUGCAUGAGCAGAGACACCCUGCUCUGCCAGCCUUUGCUUGCUGGCCUGGUAGCUUUUGUAGUCUCUCUGCACUGGGUAUCUGGCCACCUGUUUUUUAGCUGAGCAACUUGAGCUAAAAGCUGCCGGCUAUGACACAGUACCUCUGUUGCCAGAACACGCAGUUUCUUGUUCCACUUUUGAGGAAUGUAUGUGGCCGCUUACAGCAAUUACAGCUUAACCUUCCAGCUCUGAACUCUGCCUAGUAUCAGGGAAAUACCAGCUGGAGCAAAUAUCUUGACCUCUGGAUGACACAGCUGGGAGAUAACUGCGGUCUCAGCCUCAGAUGCUCUGAUUCUUGGUCACGCAGCACUUGGGCAGGCCCUCCUGCAGGCCGAGAAGGAUGGGGUGUCCAUCCCCAGAGCAUCCCUGCCAACACGGGCCGUGCUCUGAGGAGGGAGGUGACAGCGUCAGGCUGUAUGUUAUGGUGGAGAUAGGGCCCACCUCACGGCUGGGUUGGGCUGGUUCUUGUUGCACGUUUAGGUUUUUGUCUAAGGCACUUCACUGCUUUAGCCAAGCUGCAGCGGAUGAAGUUGUAAGUCUGACAGCGGACGAGUGCGGUUUGACCCUUCUGCUCUCUUUCACCUUCAGUUUGCGCUUUCCUACACGUACAGCAUUAAGGUUUGG
rnacentral:lncRNA from 1 species